UGUCCUUUUGAUUAUAAUUUAAGGUCUAAUCUGCCCACUGAGUAUUUAAAUGGCCGCGGUAUUUUGACCGUGCAAAGGUAGCAUAAUAAUUAGUUUCUUAAUUAGAAGCUGGAAUGAAAGAUUGAAUGAGAAAAUAACUGUCUCAAAUUAAUUUAGUUAGAACUUUAUUUUUAAGUUAAAAAGCUUAAAUGAUUUUAAAAGACGAGAAGACCCUAUAGAGUUUUAUUUAAAAUUUUUAGAGAUAAAUAUAAAUUUUAGUAUUUUUUUUAAAUUUUUUAAAUUUUGUUGGGGAGAUGGAAAAAUUAAUUUAACUUUUUUUAUAUUUUAACAUUAAUUAAUGAAUAGUUGAUCCAAUUUUUUUGAUUACAAGAUAAAAUUACCUUAGGGAUAACAGCGUAAUUUUUUUUGAGAGUUCUUAUCGAAAAAAAAGAUUGCGACCUCGAUGUUGGAUUAAAGUAUAAUUUUGGUGUAGAAGCUAAAAAUUUGGGUCUGUUCGACCUUUAAAACUUU
rnacentral:rRNA from 1 species